rnacentral:rRNA from 1 species
AAUUAUAAAAAUUCUCCCGACACAAAGGUCUGGUCCCAACCUUGAAAUCAAUUUUUACACAACCUACACAUGCAAGCCUCCACACCCCUGUGAAAACGCCCUUAAUUUCCUUAAAGAAACAAGGAGCUGGUAUCAGGCUCAACAAUUAUUAGCCCAAAACACCUAGCUUAGCCACACCCCCACGGGAAAUCAGCAGUGAUCAACAUUAAACAUAAGCGUCAGCUUGAUUUAGUUAAAGUAAAGAGAGCCGGCAAACCUGGUGCCAGCCGCCGCGGUUACACCACUGGACUCAAACUGAUUUCUUUCGGCGUAAAGCGUGGUUAAAGACCCAUAUAAACUAGAAUUAAACUUAAACUAAGCUGUAAUACGCUUGUAUUAAAGAAAUACUAAACGAAAGUUAUUCUAAUUACUCAACUUGAACCCACGACAGCUGAGACACAAACUGGGAUUAGAUACCCCACUAUGCUCAGCCGUAAACUUUAAUUUACACUAAAAUCGCCAGGAAACUACGAGCAAAGCUUAAAACCCAAGGGACUUGACGGUACCCCACAUCCCC